UUGACCAUCUUUAAUCGAGACUUUUUGCCUCGGGUACAAUGAGACAGGUGGUGCAUGGUUGUCGUCAGCUCGUGUCGUGAGAUGUUGGGUUAAGUCCCGCAACGAGCGCAACCCUUGUGUUAGUUGCAAACAGGUCAAGCUGUGCACUCUAGACAGACUGCCGUGGACAACACGGAGGAAGGUGGGGAUGACGUCAAAUCAUCAUGCCCCUUAUGAUCUGGGCUACACACGUGCUACAAUGGCCGGUACAACGGGCAGCGAAGGAGCGAUCCGGAGCGAAUCCUAAAAAGCCGGUCCCAGUUCGGAUUGCAGGCUGAAACUCGCCUACAUGAAGUUGGAGUUGCUAGUAAUCGCGAAUCAGAAUGUCGCGGUGAAUGCGUUCCCGGGUCUU
rnacentral:rRNA from 1 species